GUGCUCACCUUGGCAGCACAUAUACUAAAAUUGGAAUGAUACAGAGAAGAUUAGCAUAGCCCUUGCACAAGGAUGACACAUAAAUUCAUGAAAUGUUCCAUAUUUUG
rnacentral:snRNA from 1 species